CCUACGGGUGGCAGCAGUGAGGAAUAUUGGUCAAUGGGCGCGAGCCUGAACCAGCCAAGUAGCGUGAAGGAUGACUGCCCUACGGGUUGUAAACUUCUUUUAUAAAGGAAUAAAGUGAGGCACGUGUGCCUUUUUGUGUGUACUUUAUGAAUAAGGAUCGGCUAACUCCGUGCCAGCAGCCGCGGUAAUACGGAGGAUCCGAGCGUUAUCCGGAUUUAUUGGGUUUAAAGGGAGCGUAGAUGGGUUGUUAAGUCAGUGGGGAAAGUUUGCGGCUCAACCGUAAAAUUGCAAUUGAUACUGGAAGUCUUGAGUACAGUAGAGGUAGGCGGAAUUCGUGGUGUAGCGGUGAAAUGCUUAGAUAUCACGAAGAACUCCGAUUGCGAAGGCAGCUUACCAAACUGCCACUGACAUUGAUGCUCGAAAGUGUGGGUAUCAAACAGGAUUAGAUACCCGAGUAGUC
rnacentral:rRNA from 1 species